rnacentral:tmRNA from 1 species
GGGGAUGAAAGGAUUUCGACGGGGAUUUUGAAUCCCGGUAAGCGAGCAGAGGUGCGGUACCUCUAUAAAAAUCGCAAGUUUAUUAAAAAUAAACGACACUAAUAAAACUGUUUUAGCAGCUGCUUAAUAGCUGCCGUCUUACCUGAGAGUACUGCGGACCGGGAUAAGGCGUCGAUCAGCAGUGAACGUGAACGGGCAAGCGUCUCCGUAACCCGUCAUGCAUAACGGAGCUGUCCCGAUAUAAGCCUGCCGACAGGCGUAUAAAGGGAGAGAUUUAAUUUAUCGGCUACGCUCGUAGAAAGCUGAGAGAAUGAAUUUUCGGACGCGGUUUCGAAUACCGCCAUCUCCACCA